AUGAACCCUGUGGACCACCCUCAUGAGGGCGGUGAAGGGAAAGCUCCCAUUUGUAGAAAAAAGACAACCCCUUGGAGUUAUCCUGAGCUUGGAAGAAGAACUAGGAAAGGAAAAAAAUAGCAUAGUUUUAUUCUUCAUCGCCGUAAGUUAAUAACGUAA
rnacentral:rRNA from 1 species